UGAGGAAUAUUGGUCAAUGGGCGCAAGCCUGAACCAGCCAUCCCGCGUGAAGGAAGAAGGCGCUAUGCGUCGUAAACUUCUUUUUCAGGUCAAGAAUGUUUCGCACGUGUGCGGAAUUGACGGUAACCUGUGAAUAAGCAUCGGCUAACUCCGUGCCAGCAGCCGCGGUAAUACGGAGGAUGCGAGCGUUAUCCGGAUUUAUUGGGUUUAAAGGGUGCGUAGGCGGAUUGAUAAGUCAGUGGUGAAAUCCUGCAGCUUAACUGUGGAAUUGCCGUUGAUACUGUCAGUCUUGAGUAUGGUUAAGGUAGGCGGAAUGUGUAAUGUAGCGGUGAAAUGCUUAGAUAUUACACAGAACACCGAUUGCGAAGGCAGCUUACUGAACCAAAACUGACGCUGAGGCACGAAAGCGUGGGGAGCGAACAGG
rnacentral:rRNA from 1 species